AGUUUGGGGUCUCCUGGCCCCUUGACGCGUCGGGUUGCUGUGCCCCAGCAUCGGAUGCGCUGUACCCUGCGCUGGCUCCGUGAACCUUAGGGACAACACCGGGACACCCGCGAGGCCGGAAAAUGUUGGGGUCUGGCUGUGUUGCUCAGGCUGGUCUUGAACUCCUGGGCUCAAGCGAUCCUCCACCCUCAGCAUCCCAAAGUGCUAGGAUUCCAGGCAUAAGCCACUAUGCCCGGCCCGACAUUCUCAUUUUCUGAAAGCAAUAGUGGGUUUUCUUGUUAAAUGCCUUAAAAU
rnacentral:sRNA from 1 species